GAGAAAUUUCUCCUACACUAGCAAUACCCAUCUGAAACUCUACUGCAUGUUCACAGGCGGUGACUGCUGCGGAUGGGGCAGUGGCAGUGGGAGACGGCGAGGUGGUGGCAGCAGAGCUGGUGAGGUGCUGCCCCCACUGCACAGGAGGCUGCUGCUGAAGGCAACAAACCUCAGGGAGAAGAAAAGGAGGUUGAUGUUUCUCAGG